rnacentral:rRNA from 1 species
AUGUCGGGGACUUCGGUCUCACGGCACGCGUCUGUUCGUUUAAUUGCCUCGUUCGUCGGCGUGCACUUCUCCCCUAGUAGGACGUCGCGACCCGUUGGGUGUCGGUCUACGGCCCGGUAGGUAGCCUGUCACGUGUGCGCUUCACGGCGUUACGCGGGUCANACCUCCGGUCGCCCGACCGGCUGCCCGGCGGUACUCGCAAGGUAUCUGGCCGCAAAUAUUCGAACUGCGUCCGGCCCGUCGCAAGCGAGGCAAGUGUUUCCCGGCUGUACGGAUCUAAUGCCGUCACCGGGCCUUGCCAGCUGUUGGUUGACGGUGUCCUAGGACUGGCCAACAAAAUUAUGAUACCGGUCGGCGACGCUACUGCUUUGGGUACUUUCAGGACCCGUCUUGAAACACGGACCAAGGAGUCUAACAUGUGCGCGAGUCAUUGGGUAAUAUGAAGCCUAAAGGCGCAAUGAAAGUGAAGGUCGGCCUUGCGCCGACCGAGGGAGGAUGAGCCGCGUUACGAUGCGGUUCCGCACUCCCGGGGCGUCUCGUUCUCAUUGCGAGAAGAGGCGCACCCAGAGCGUACACGUUGGGACCCGAAAGA